rnacentral:lncRNA from 1 species
AUAAACCUAAUGUUAUAUUUUUAUGCGUAUACUUUUCUACUAUCCCAAUUUUAACAUUUACAAAAAUUUAAAAGAGAAAGCGGAGUACAAGUUAGGUGUUUUCAUGGAAACAUUAAAAUUGGAGAGUAUAUUUGGGUUGUGAGUUAAGUUGAAGCUUUUAAACGCUAGCGGUAUUUUUGUUAGGUUCUUAAAAUUUAAUAUUGCUGAUGUUUCAGUUUAAUAUUUUGAAUUGAAAGGUAAUAUUGCUUAGGUUGUCUGUGUUUGGUUGGAUCUAUUCGCAGUCGGCAUAUUGAGUAUCAAUUGGUAAAUUUAUUUUUAAUAUU